UACGGAGGGUGCGAGCGUUAAUCGGAAUAACUGGGCGUAAAGGGCACGCAGGCGGGCUUUUAAGUGAGAUGUGAAAUCCCCUGGCUUAACCUGGGAAUAGCAUUUCAGACUGGGAGUCUAGAGUUCUUUAGGGAGGGCUAGAAUUCCACGUGUAGCGGUGAAAUGCGUAGAGAUGUGGAGGAAGACCGAAGGCGAAGGGAGCCCCUUGGGAAUGUACUGACGCUCAUGUGCGAAAGCGUGGGGAGCAAACAGG
rnacentral:rRNA from 1 species